UACGGAGGGUGCGAGCGUUGUCCGGAAUCACUGGGCGUAAAGGGCGCGUAGGCGGCCUGAUAAGUAGGGGGUGAAAUCCUGCGGCUUAACCGCAGGGCUGCCUUCUAAACUGUCAGGCUCGAGCACAGUAGAGGCAGGUGGAAUUCCCGGUGUAGCGGUGGAAUGCGUAGAGAUCGGGAAGAACAUCAGUGGCGAAGGCGGCCUGCUGGGCUGUUGCUGACGCUGAGGCGCGACGGCGUGGGGAGCAAACAGG
rnacentral:rRNA from 1 species